rnacentral:rRNA from 1 species
CGUGCUUAACACAUGCAAGUCGAACGGAAAGGCCCUGCUUUUGUGGGGUGCUCGAGUGGCGAACGGGUGAGUAACACGUGAGUAACCUGCCCUUGACUUUGGGAUAACUUCAGGAAACUGGGGCUAAUACCGGAUAGGAGCUCCUGCUGCAUGGUGGGGGUUGGAAAGUUUCGGCGGUUGGGGAUGGACUCGCGGCUUAUCAGCUUGUUGGUGGGGUAGUGGCUUACCAAGGCUUUGACGGGUAGCCGGCCUGAGAGGGUGACCGGCUACAUUGGGACUGAGAUACGGCCCAGACUCCUACGGGAGGCAGCAGUGGGGAAUAUUGCACAAUGGGCGGAAGCCUGAUGCAGCAACGCCGCGUGCGGGAUGACGGCCUUCGGGUUGUAAACCGCUUUCGCCUGUGACGAAGCGUGAGUGACGGUAAUGGGUAAAGAAGCACCGGCUAACUACGUGCCAGCAGCCGCGGUGAUACGUAGGGUGCGAGCGUUGUCCGGAUUUAUUGGGCGUAAAGGGCUCGUAGGUGGUUGAUCGCGUCGGAAGUGUAAUCUUGGGGCUUAACCCUGAGCGUGCUUUCGAUACGGGUUGACUUGAGGAAGGUAGGGGAGAAUGGAAUUCCUGGUGGAGCGGUGGAAUGCGCAGAUAUCAGGAGGAACACCAGUGGCGAAGGCGGUUCUCUGGGCCUUUCCUGACGCUGAGGAGCGAAAGCGUGGGGAGCGAACAGGCUUAGAUACCCUGGUAGUCCACGCUGUAAACGGUGGGUACUAGGUGUGGGGUCCAUUCCACGGGUUCCGUGCCGUAGCUAACGCUUUAAGUACCCCGCCUGGGGAGUACGGCCGCAAGGCUAAAACUCAAAGGAAUUGACGGGGCCCCGCACAAGCGGCGGAGCAUGCGGAUUAAUUCGAUGCAACGCGUAGAACCUUACCUGGGUUUGACAUGGAUCGGGAGUGCUCAGAGAUGGGUGUGCCUCUUUUGGGGUCGGUUCACAGGUGGUGCAUGGCUGUCGUCAGCUCGUGUCGUGAGAUGUUGGGUUAAGUCCCGCAACGAGCGCAACCCUUGUUCACUGUUGCCAGCACGUUAUGGUGGGGACUCAGUGGAGACCGCCGGGGUCAACUCGGAGGAAGGUGGGGAUGACGUCAAGUCAUCAUGCCCCUUAUGUCCAGGGCUUCACGCAUGCUACAAUGGCUGGUACAGAGAGUGGCGAGCCUGUGAGGGUGAGCGAAUCUCGGAAAGCCGGUCUCAGUUCGGAUUGGGGUCUGCAACUCGACCUCAUGAAGUCGGAGUCGCUAGUAAUCGCAGAUCAGCAACGCUGCGGUGAAUACGUUCCCGGGGCUUGUACACACCGCCCGUCAAGUCAUGAAAGUUGGUAACACCCGAAGCCGGUGGCCUAACCGUUGUGGGGGAGCCGUCGAAGGUGGGACUGGUGAUUAGGACUAAA